GGCACAAUGAUUGAGAAUCGAACACUAUUGCAAAAUCGGCCAGCGAAACGUUAAUGCGGUGGCGUUAUUCCUCCAGUGGGAUCAAAUUUCCAACAAAUUGUUUGGAGAAUUGAACGAUAUUGCAAUCAGUUUAUGUUCUAACGUUCAAAACUGUUUGAAGAUUGCGACAUUACUUAAAUCUCUCCAAUUUGUUGCCGCUGGUUCCGGAUUGUGUAUGAAUUUGACAAAUUUGUUGUUUGGAGGACUGGAAAGUUCAGUUGUUUUUAUUUUGAAGUUCCAUAUUUCAUAGUUGCUUGCUUACAAACCGUUCGACGAAAUACCUCAGUGAAGCCAUUUUAGUGUUCUUGAUCAGGUGUUGUGAAAGUGAGAAGAGGUGGAUCAAAGAAUCCAAUCGCCUUUGUUGCUAUAAUCAUUGUAGUUUCUUGUUUUUUUUCUGAUAAAGAGAGUAUGAUAUGAUAAGAAAGAUUUGGUUUAUACAUUUGAUGAUAUCUGUUGUGAUUCAAGCUGUUUUUUUUUUGGUUUAAGCGGACGUGAAGCUAUAUACAAUUUAGAAUUUAAAACUGAAACUCUCUACCUUUUAUUUAUGAUUCCAUGAAAUUUAGAAUUAAAAACUAAAACUUUGGUGGAUUUAAGUUAAAUAAAGCUUAAAACAUGUUAACUCACUAA
rnacentral:lncRNA from 1 species